GAAGAUGUAGCUCAAGUGGUAGAGCACAUGCUUAGCAUGCACAAGCAAGGCCCUGGGUUCAAUCUCCAGUACCUUCU
rnacentral:tRNA from 1 species